rnacentral:ncRNA from 1 species
UUUAACGAGAGUUUGAUCCUGGCUCAGGAUGAACGCUGGCGGCGUGCUUAACACAUGCAAGUCGAACGAAGCGCUUGAAUGGAAUUCUUCGGAAGGAAGCUUAAGUGACUGAGUGGCGGACGGGUGAGUAACGCGUGGGUAACCUGCCUCAUACAGGGGGAUAACAGUUAGAAAUGACUGCUAAUACCGCAUAAGCACACGUGAUCGCAUGAU